UAGUCCACACCGUAAACGCUGUCUACUAGCUGUUUGUGACUAUAUGUUGUGAGUAGCGAAGCUAACGCGCUAAGUAGACCGCCUGGGGAGUACGGUCGCAAGAUUAAAACUCAAAUGAAUUGACGGGGGGCCCGCAUAAGCGGUGGAGCAUGUGGUUUAAUUCGAUGCAACGCGAAGAACCUUACCUACACUUGACAUUCAAAGAAUUUAGCAGAGAUGCUUUAGUGCCUUCGGGAGCUUUGGGACAGGUGCUGCAUGGCUGUCGUCAGCUCGUGUCGUGAGAUGUUGGGUUAAGUCCCGCAACGAGCGCAACCCUUGUCCUUAUUUGCCAGCAUUAAGUUGGGGACUUUAAGGAGACUGCCGGUGACAAACCGGGAGGAAGGUGGGGACGACGUCAAGUCAUCAUGGGCCCUUACGUGUAGGGGCUACACACGUGCUACAAUGGGCGGGGUAC
rnacentral:rRNA from 1 species